rnacentral:lncRNA from 1 species
UUUUUUCGGUAGAGGGAGAGAGAUGGGUGGCCCUAGUAUUUUCUGGUGCAAAAAUAUGGUCUAAAUGGUGGAGGGUGAAUUUUGUACUGUUGUGAUAUUUUUUGAAGAAUUACUAAUAUUUUUACACAUAUCUUUUCAAAACAAUCUCUUUUUUUUUUUUCAGUUUUUAUCCCAAUAAUUUUUUUUACUACAUAACGUAUCUUCAAUAUUUGUAAAAUGUAGUUCUUUUACCAUAAAAAAAAUU